rnacentral:rRNA from 1 species
UACGGAGGAUCCGAGCGUUAUCCGGAUUUAUUGGGUUUAAAGGGUGCGUAGGCGGUUUGAUAAGUUAGAGGUGAAAUGUCGGGGCUCAACCCCGAAACUGCCUCUAAUACUGUUGGACUAGAGAAUAGUUGCGGUAGGCGGAAUGUAUGGUUUAGCGGUGAAAUGCUUAGAGAUCAUACAGAACACCGAUUGCGAAGGCAGCUUACCAAACUAUAUCUGACGUUGAGGCACGAAAGCGUGGGUAGCAAACAGG